rnacentral:rRNA from 1 species
UACGGGGGGUGCUAGCGUUAUUCGGAAUCAUUGGGCGUAAAGGGCGCGUAGGCGGUCUUUUAAGUCAGAUGUGAAAGCCCUCGGCUUAACCGAGGAAGUGCAUUUGAUACUAAGAGACUUGAGUAUGGGAGAGGGAAGCGGAAUUCCUGGUGUAGCGGUGAAAUGCGUAGAUAUCAGGAGGAACACCGGUGGCGAAGGCGGCUCACUGGCCCGUUUCUGACGCUCAGGCACGAAAGCGUGGGGAGCAAACAGG